UGGCCUUACCCGCUGAAACUUAAGCAUAUCAAUAAGCGGAGGAAAAGAAACUAACAAGGAUUCCCCUAGUAACUGCGAGUGAAGCGGGAAGAGCUCAAAUUUAAAAUCUGGCGGUCUAUGGCCGUCCGAGUUGUAAUCUGUAGAGGCAUUUUCUGCGUUGGACCGUGUACAAGUCUCCUGGGAUGGAGCGUCAUAGAGGGUGAGAAUCCCGUCCAUGACACGGACAACCAAUGCUUUGUGAUAUGCCUUCGAAGAGUCGCGUUGUUUGGGAAUGCAGCGCAAAAUGGGUGGUAAAUUCCAUCUAAGGCUAAAUAUUGGCGAGAGACCGAUAGCGAACAAGUACCGUGAGGGAAAGAUGAAAAGCACUUUGGAAAGAGAGUUAAACAGUACGUGAAAUUGUUGAAAGGGAAACGCUUGAAGUCAGUCGCGUCCCGUGGAACUCAGCCUUGCUUUGGCUUGGUGUACUUUCCAUGUCGGACGGGUCAACAUCAAUUUUGGCCGGUGGAUAAAAGUAAGAGGAAUGUGGCGUUGCUUUGGCGACGUGUUAUAGCCUCUUGUUGGAUACACCGGCUGGGAUUGAGGACUGCAGCACGCCCUUGUGGCCGAAGGUUCGCCUUACGUAUCGUGCUUAGGAUGUUGGCAUAAUGGCUUUAAGCGACCCGUCUUGAAACACGGACCAAGGAGUCUAACAUGCUUGCAAGUGUUCGGGUGAAAAACCCUUGCGCGUAAUGAAAGUGAAAGUUAGGAUCCCUCGUGAGAGGGUGCACUGACGCCCGGCCCUGACGUUCUCUGAUGGUGCUGCGGUAGAGCAAGUAUGUUGGGACCCGAAAGAUGGUGAACUAUGCCUGAAUAGGGCGAAGCCAGAGGAAACUCUGGUGGAGGCUCGUAGCGAUUCUGACGUGCAAAUCGAUCGUCAAAUUUGGGUAUAGGGGCGAAAGACUAAUCGAACCAUCAGGGCUC
rnacentral:rRNA from 1 species